rnacentral:rRNA from 1 species
GGGAUGAACGGUAUAGGCGUGUCGUUCUGCGUGUGGCGUUUUCCCUAAGUUCUUAUGAAGAGGACUCGCGACAGGGUGAAAGACCCGUUAGGGAGGCGUUGUGCGUGGAGUGGCGUGCCCUGGAGUAGGGUUGCUUGAAAGUGCAGCCCAAAGUUGGUGGUAAACCUCAUCUAAGGCUAAAUAUCAUCACGAAUCCGAUAGCAAACAAGUACCGUGAGGGAAAGUUGCAAAGAACUUUGAAGAGAGAGUUCAAUAGAAUGUGAAACUGUUGCGUUGGAAGCAGAUGAUCCCAAAGGUUGGCCGUGCUAUUCGGCUUUGCGUGGCGUCACGGCUUGGCGUCUGUCGGCGCGUGUCUCGGCACGGCGACGGCGGCGUUGGGUGUCGUGGUGGCGUUGCGUGGGGUUGACUUGGUGCGGUAUGCUCCUGAGUGCCGUGCUUGUGCCGUUGAAGGUCCGUGACGAGCAUCAAACCUCGGUUUGACCGCUGUCUGGGCGUUAGGCGGCGCGGGCACGGUGCGCGGUGCGUCGAGCCCUUGCGGUGUCGUCGUUGGCGGCUGCCGGCUUUGCUUGUCUGCUUGCAGGCGGUAUUGCGGUGGCCUCCACGGCGGCGUCGUAAUUGUCGGCGUUACUCGGGAGUCAUAUUUGGUGAGUCAUUUGGCCCGUCUUGAAACACGGAUCAAGGAGUUCAGUGUGGCCGCGAGUCAUUGGGCGUGUCAAACCCAAAGGCGCAAUGAAAGUGAGCAUACGCGAUCCGUCGGCCUCGGCCGGCGGCGCAGCGUAGCCCCAUGGUAAAGGCUUGCCUUGCUGUGGAGGAUGAGCGGUCGCGCUAAGACCCGAAAGAUGGUGAACUAUGCUUGCUCAGCCUGAANGCCAGAGGAAACUCUGGUGGAGGGGCGAAACGGUUCUGACGUGCAAAUCGAUCGUCUGAUGUGAGUAUAGGGGCGAAAGACUAAUCGAACCAUCUAGUAGCUGGUUCCUGCUGAAGUUUCCCUCAGGAUAGCUGGAGUACGUUGUCAGUUAUAUGCGGUAAAGCGAAUGAUUAGAGGAAUUGGGAGCGAAAUGCUCUUAACCUAUUGUCAAACUUUCAAUGCGUAUGAAGCCUCACUUGCUUGAUUGAAGUGUUGGCAUGGAAUGUGUGCUCCGUGUGGGCCAUUUUUGGUAAGCAGAACUGGUGAUGUGGGAUGAACCAAGUGCGAAGUUACGGCGCUAGAAUUCUUGCUCAUGAGACCCCAGAAAAGGUGUUAAUUGGUUUAGACAGCAGGACGGUGGGCAUGGAAGUCGCCAUCCGCUAAGGAGUGUGUAACAACUCACCUGCCGAAUCAAUUAGCCCUGAAAAUGGAUGGCGCUUGAGCGAGAUGCCUAUACUUUGCUGUCAUUGAUUGGAACAAGCGAAAACCUGGCUUUGACAGGUAAGCAGAGUGUGGCGGUUGCGUUGAAGGCUUUGCGCGUGCGCUUAGCUGGAGCAGCCGUCAGUGCAGAUCUUGAUGGUAGUAGCAAAUAUUCAAGUGAGAUCCUUGAAGACUGAAGUGGAAAAGGGUUCCACGUGAACAGCAGUUGAACGUGGGUCAGUCGAUCCUAAGUGACGGGCAAACGCCCUGCAAAUGUGAGGUGAAAGCUUGCUUUCAUCCUCGAUGAGCGAAAGGGAAUUCGGUUAAUAUUCCGAAACGUAUUGGCGAAAUGAUGCUCAUUUCGAGUUUUNCUGGUGGGGUAACCCAAAAGUUACAGGCCACUCUGCCCGUCGUACCGACCAGAGUUCUCUUCUCUGGUUGAGGCUUGAUGUCCCUGGAAUCGAUUCGACCGGUGAUAGGGAUGAAAUAGCCGUAAAGCAUUGCAUUUCUUGCAGUGUUCGGUGCGCGUCGGGCGGACCUUGAAACGCUUGUGACAGCCAGUUGAUUUGCCAAUGCAUCGUACCUGAUAUCCGCAACAGGUUUCCAAGGUGAACAGCCUCUAGUCGAUAGAAUAAUGUAGGUAAGGGAAGUCGGCAAAUUUGAUCCGUAACCUCGGGAUAUGGAUUGGCUCUGAAAACUGAGAUGGUUGGGCUGCGCUUUGAAGCAGCGGCGAGUCGGUUCAUGUCUGUGUGUGUCCGCAAGGGCGCGCGCGGGCUAGUGGCUGUGCUUGCUCUGUGGACAUGCGUAGUUUGUGCGGUCGUUUCGGCGGCCGCACGUCAGCCGUCGCUAAACAGUUGAUUCAGAACUGGUACGGACUCAGGGAAUCCGACUGUCUAAUUAAAACAGAGGAGACAGAUGGUUUUUGUGAACGUUGACUGUCUCUGAUUUCUGCCCAGUGCUCUGAAUGUUAAAGUGAAGAAACUCGAAUAAGCGCGGGUAAACGGCGGGAGUAACUAUGACUCUCUUAAGGUAGCCAAAUGCCUCGUCAUUUAAUUAGUGACGCGCAUGAAUGGAUUAACGAGAUUCCCACUGUCCCUAUCUACUAUCUAGCGAAACCACAGCCAAGGGAACGGGCUUGGCAGAAACAGCGGGGAAAGAAGACCCUGUUGAGUUUGACUCUAGAUUGACUCUGUGAAAAGUCAUGAGAGGUGUAGCAUAAGUGGGAGACUUCGGUCGCUCUUGAAAUACCACUACUUUCAUUGUCUCUUUACUUAUUCGGUAAAACGAGAAUUGGCUUCGGCCUUAGUUUGUGGAUUGAAGGUGCGUGGCUUGGCCAUGCGCUGACUUGCCCCGAAGACAGUGUCUGUCGGGGAGUUUGACUGGGGCGGUACAUCUGUCAAAUCGUAACGCAGGUGUCCUAAGGUUAGCUCAGUGAGGACAGAAACCUCACGUAGAGUAAAAGGGCAAAAGCUCGCUUGAUCUUGAUUUUCAGUAAGAAUACGGACCGCGAAAGCGUGGCCUAUCGAUCCUUAUGGAUAGAAGGUUUCUAAUAUGAGGUGUCAGAAAAAUUACCACAGGGAUAACUGGCUGGUGGCGGCCAAGCGUCCAUAGCGACGUCGCUUUUUGAUCCUUCGAUGUCGGCUCUUCCUAUCAUUGCGAAGCAGAAUUCGCCAAGCGUUGGAUUGUUCACCCUCUAAUAGGGAACGUGAGCUGGGUUUAGACCGUCGUGAGACAGGUUAGUUUUACCCUACUGUUGACUGGUUGUUGCGAUAGUAAUCAAGCUUAGUACGAGAGGAACCGCUGGUUCAGACAUUUGGUAUUGGAUCUGCCCGAUCGGGCAAUGGUUCGAAGCUACCAUCUGAAGAAUUAUAACUGAAAGCCUCUAAGUUAGAAGUCUGCCUAGACAUUCAAUGAUACUUGCAUCCCGUUGUUGGGAGGCAAGCGUAUGUGGCCUCACGGUCACAGAUCAAGCCCUAAUACAUGGCCCGGCUGGCGGCUGUAUACCAGUCGUCGGUUGCCAAAGCUGUAUCACUGAUGCAGUUCAAUGACGGGGCGCUAAAUCUAUUGCAUAAGACUUUACUACUGAUCAUGGUGUUGUAAACAGUAGAGC